rnacentral:rRNA from 1 species
GCAAGUCGAACGAAGCAUUUACACGGAUUUCCUUCGGGGAUGAAGGGUUUAUGACUGAGUGGCGGACGGGUGAGUAACGCGUGGGCAACCUGCCCCGUACCGGGGGACAACAGCCGGAAACGGCUGCUAAUACCGUAUACGUUUUAAGGACCGCAUGGUCCUUAAAACAAAACUCCGGUGGUACGGGAUGGGCCCGCGUCUGAUUAGCUCGUUGGCGGGGUAACGGCCCACCAAGGCGACGAUCAGUAGCCGGCCUAAGAGGGCGGCC